rnacentral:lncRNA from 1 species
CUCUGCUCUCAAAAUGCUAUACAUUUGGGAUAAACAUAGCUACAUUUUUUUCCAUGCAAAUAUGGAAAAUAACCAGGAAUGGGCAGCAUUUUAAAUCAGUAACAUCAUAAUGUGACCAAGAUAUCAUCUAUUAUUCUCUGAGUAGUAAGCUUUCCCCAGGAUCCUAGAAGCCAUGACACCUGAAAUAGAAAUACAAAGAAGAGGCUGGUGUAUGAAGAAACAAAUAGGACCCACUUGACAAUGGAUUAUAACUUUUCUCAGGGAUCUUCUAUGGAAUCACAGCUGUUAGCUAAAGAAGUGUUUAUUAUUGGACAAGGGUCCUGCUCAAUGCACGGUAAGCCAAACAAUGACAGCAGUUCUUGCAGCAGAGAAAGAGUUUUAUUGCUGGGCACCAAGCAAGGAGCAGGGAGUAAAUUUCUAAAAUCCGUCUCCCCCAGGAUAGGGGGACCUGAGCACUUACGGGAUUUUACGAGGGAGUGGGGAUCUGGAAGGUGGAUGGAGGUGAUUGGACAUUUGGAAAGGUGAGGUAAGGAAAAAGACCUCACUACUUCUGCUCAGGUGCCACCCAAUGACCUCUAGGCACUUAUGGCAUAAGUAGAAAAAAUGGUGGAGUCCGGGGACAUCUCACGUGUGUUGUCAUGGAGGUUACUUUUAUUCAUUCUCGGUCCUUUCUGUGCAGCUGCAAGACUCCUUCCCAGUUUUUCCCAGUCUUACUCGGUCUUGUGGCAGUAGGUUAACUUUCUGCAAAGCAAGCUCAUAAGUCAAUUAGGUUAAACAGAAUGUUCUUGGGGUAGAAUGGUCAGGCAUGUCUUGUCUCCAAGAGUCACAUUAGUAGAAUAGAAGCAGUGAUGAGAAGAUCUGAGCUCCUAUCACACAAACUACUUGUGCCCCUGGCCCUGCCUAGACAGGCUCCAUGAUAUACCAUUUCCAGUAUAUAAUGGACUGCGGCCGGGCUCACCCAACCUUAGGAGCUGGUGAAGAGCAGCACCCAGUGAGUGAUCGCGAAUUGCAGUGACCUAGUCACUUAAUGGCCAGCAUCAGGCAUUCAGUCUCUACAACAUUCCGGUUGCAUUCCAGGGACUACUUUUCAGACUGUUAGUUCUGACAGAAUAUGAGCAGAGGACUGAAAGAGAUAGCUAAAGUGACAUCAAGAAUUACAUCAGAGAGAGUCCAUCAGCAACACUGUGUCCAUUAAAUAUUUCAAUGCCCUCAUCUCAGCUUCCUCAUGGGUGUCCUUCAAUUCCCUGGAAGGACAAGCAGCCUCAAAUGUGUAGUCACUUCCCCUGGCACUAACAGAAAAUAAAAUCCCACAGUCAAGAAAUCCAAAAACAACAACAAAAAACCAAAACAAAACAAAACAAAAAAACCAAUAAGGAGAAGAGCCGUUAGAUCACCACACUUGCCAUUUCUGUGCCUUUUACUGAAUUGAAACGGUAAUUAAAGUUGUCCAGAUGCUGUCGUUCCAGGGGAACACUAAAGUAGAAAACACAAAAUUGCUUUAAUUGCCUGGAGGUGAUUAAAUUUGGAAGUAAUGGGCUCUCCAUCAAUCUAGCCUCCUUUAUUUAGAAGAGAAAACACUAACCAGUUUGCAUUUUCAAGAAUAUCGAUCUGUAAGAGCUGUGUGUGUAUUUUUAAAUAACUGUAGGCAGGUUAUAAAUCUAAUCUACUUUCAGAUCCUUAGUAAAGUGCCCCGAGCUUUUCCUAUUCAUUCUACAAUAACAUGUCAACUUCUCUAGUUCUGUCUCACUAGCUUAGAAACCUCUUCUCACCUGGGUGUAUGCACAACGGCAAAACUAUAAAGAUGAACUCUCUGAAGUAGAAAUUCUCAUGGCAUCUCUAAUGUGGAAACAGACUGGAUUGAUGAGGUCACUAUUAAAGUGGCUAUCUCUAAUGAGUUGACGACUCCCAUUUGUGCUAUAUCCUGAUGCAGAGGAAGCCAGGAGAACAGAAUCAAUAAGAUGUGAUGACUUCUUCAUCAACAUUAACAAUAUAGAAAACAGAGGGUGGGCUGGGGUGGAGGAGUGUUAAUUCAAACAAUGAGUCAUGAAUUUCGCUUUAAAAAAUGAAUUCCUUUGAAUCUGUAAUCAUUAACCAAACAGACAAGUUCUAGUUUCCUAAAGGAAGGUAUAGAGCAGUUGGCAAACUAAAGUUUCUUUGGAAAGUAAGACACAUCUUCCCCAUGUAAGUGGCAUAGCGCUGGGCGAUCCAUCACUGUUCUCCAAAUGCUGGGAGAUUUGGCUUUUGAUUCUGCAGUUUGUUAAUGUCGUGUAGGUGUGUUGUCUCUUCCCAAAUGCAAGGCUAAGAUGAAAACAAGAAAAAAUUGGAGUUAGAUUAAAACUGCAAUAGAAACUGAAAAAUCAUACUGAAAUGUUCAGGGAAAUUUGUUUAUAGAAUCUAUGCUGGAGCAAUAGUCAUACACUUAUGGAAUGCUACCUAUGGAAGGCUUCAGGCAAAAAAUGUUGCACUUACUUCAGGCAAAAAAUGUUGACUUUAAUAAUUUGAGGCAAAUAUUUCACUUUGCUGGCUAAUAUUCAUAAUUCAUUUGUUCUGUUCCAGUUGGCAGAGCUGAAAGAAUGAUCCUUAGAGCUAAGAAGAAAUGAAAUCCCUGAAUUUUCUGCAUUUUUUUCCUUUUGAAGUUCAACUAGCUAGUCUAACAUCAUUAUGCAAUCCCAUCUAGUGAAAUAUGCCAGUGAACAUUAACACCUGCUGCAAAUUGAUGAAGCUCUUCAAAGUGUAGUGCCCUGGACAAUAGUUAAUUCAAAGUAAAUGUUAAUUGUCAAGGCAGACACAAAAGAUUCCUUUGUGAAUCUGCCUCCAGAUCUGUCAGCUUCAAUAGCAUUUGUUCUUGAGAUGGAAAAAAUACAUAGACCAGUAGGAGAAGGUCGAUGAAGAAUGAUUUAAGAAUUCCAUACUUGUGGGAUGAAUCAUGCUUACAGAGAGGACACACUCUUCACUGCACUCUGAGAUUAAUGAUAUUAAAAUUCAAUAUUAAGUUGCAUGAUCAAAAUACUUUUCUGUUCAUCACAAUUAAACAUAUACAACUUUUAUAAUUGAAAGUGAACUUUUAUAAUUGAACUAUAAGCAUAUUAAUGUUCUCUUCAAUAAAUAGAAUAUCACAAACGAGUGAAAUAUUUUUGAGGCAUCUAUCUUUCAAUUAUAUGAUAUAGAUUGCACUUUUGCCUUGAGAAUGUAAUCAUCAAAUGGCUUCAUUACAUCUCUACUUGAUUAAUGGAUGUAUUUCUUUCUAUUCAAGGUCAUAGCAAGACAAACAAGCCUGUGGAGAGCAGUGAACAUGAAAUUUGCCCUAUGUUAAAAUAAAUUGUUUGUAGUUUUCUGGUUUAGCUCACUCAAGUAAAGCAUCAGAGAAAAAGAACAGUGAAUAUCUAAACAGGGCAAAAGACGGAACCGAUGUCAGUCAAAUGUCCUAGCCUCAUAAAUACAGAUAAUGCUGUCUCCAAAUAUAAGUUUUUUUAAA